UUUGAUGGCGACCGGCGCACGGGUGAGUAACACGUAUCCAACCUGCCGAUGACUCGGGGAUAGCCUUUCGAAAGAAAGAUUAAUACCCGAUGGCAUAGUUCUUCCGCAUGGUGGAACUAUUAAAGAAUUUCGGUCAUCGAUGGGGAUGCGUUCCAUUAGGUUGUUGGCGGGGUAACGGCCCACCAAGCCUUCGAUGGAUAGGGGUUCUGAGAGGAAGGUCCCCCACAUUGGAACUGAGACACGGUCCAAACUCCUAAGGGAGGCAGCAUG
rnacentral:rRNA from 1 species